UUCCCCAUGGCAACAGAUCCCUCCCCUGAAUGACAGGAUUUCCAUAUUGACAACUGGAAAAUGUCCCAAAUAACUCCAAGAAGCACCUGGAGUUUAAUCUCACGUCUUACCUCCAGAAGGAGUCUUUUUUAUUAUUUCUCACAUGUUAAAGUGAAGUUAUUUAUAUACCUUACAACUGACGGUGUGAUGACAGCCAAGCUAAGCAGAGAGUAUUUGAAAGAUUCGAUAAGCUGAACUUCCCUGGAAAUGGUAAACUAACGUCUUUCAGAAGAUUUCAAUGAUCUGCUUAAAAUAGAAUGCUGAUGCCCUGCUUCCUCUCCUGUCUACCGAGCUGGGAGUGCCCAGCAGGGAAAUCUGCUGACCGCAAGCACUCGAUGUACAGUUGGACAGCUUCACUCCUAGCCCUCAGAGUCAGAGAAACUCUGAAAGUGCAAAUAGAGGAGUCUCACCUGGUCAUAACUUGAAAUAUUUUAC